GAGAAAUGGAGGGAAGUGAGACAUGACUAAGAUGUAGGUAAAAAGGAAUAAAGGUGUUUCCUGCUCAAAUCUCUCUUGAAGAAAUUAAUGGAGAAGGAAAGCACAAAGCAUGCUUGAAAGAAAGCAAAGCUGUUUGAAUUUCCCUUGGGAAAAGAUGCAAUGCAGACUGGCUUUGAAACUUGGACUCCUUGGCCAAAACAUGCAUAUUUGUUUCCUUUUAAUUUGUUCAAAUGUAUCAUCAACACAGCCAGAAUCCCUGUGCAGUUGGUACUGGACUAGUUAAUUAGCAAGUGUAAAUAAACAGUGAAAGGAGGAGGAUGACUGGAGUUUCACAGCUGCUUUAAUACAACUGGUUUCACUUAGAGAAGAUGACAUGUUGAAAUGUGAUGAGUAAAGAUGUGCAGAAUGCUUCCCCAGUAAUUGGAAUUCAAGCAACAAUAACACUGGGCAUUGUUGGAUCCUUUACAACUUUAAGAAAAAGGUCUCCUUCCUUCGCUUUGGAAAAAAGUGCACAUAUUAUAGAACAUCGUGACUUUAUUCAACAUUAAAAAGAGAAAUUAAAAAUUAUUUCACCUGAGUGCAUCUGCAUUUGAAUCAAGCAUAUGUUUAAGUUUAUGCAACUUCUAAUGCACAAUUUCUUCUUCCAACUUUCUAUUGCUAUAAAAUGGCAGGAUUUUAGAGCUGAAUGAGUAAUUUUGUGUCAAAUUCUCACUUUAGAAAUGAGGAGAUAAAGGCCUAGAUAAGUAAGGUAAUUUACCUAUAGAUACACAGUAAAUUGAUGGCAGAAAUGGAACCAAGCUAAGAACUCCUGAUUGUGCUUCUUGAAUAGCCCAAGAUGGGAGGGUCUGAGCAGUGGGAAAGAGACUGUCAGGGGCCAAGGACCAGUUAUCCUGGGGAAAUAUUAAGAAGAACUGAAUGAGAAAGCAGCUGGUAAAAGGCCAUUGGCUGUAGCAAACAGAUUACAGAUGAUGUCUAUAGUCAGGACUUUUUUGGUCAUGAGUGGUGGAAAACCAUCUAAAACUAGCUUGAGCUAAAGGAAAAAAUUACAUCCUCAUGUUACCAAGAAGUCUGGAUUUAGAAGUUAUUUCAAGUACACCUGCAGAGAGGUGCCCAAAUGACUAUCAAUCCUUUUCCUCGAGCUCUGUUUCUUCGCUUUCUGUGUUGGUUUUAUUCUUUCUUACAGGUAGCAUCUUCCAUGCAGUGAGAAAGAGGGCCACUUUGUAAUCUGUAUUUAUGUUCUCCCACUUUGGCAACCUCAGCUGAAAAAGAAGGCCUGCCUUUCAAUGUUCAAACAUUAAUUGUGGAGCAGAACAUUAAUU
rnacentral:lncRNA from 1 species